rnacentral:misc_RNA from 1 species
UCCCGUUUGACACGGGCAGUCUCGCCAGAGUGCUCGGCAUGACCCGGUGGCAACUGACGACAGGGGUUUCGCUCGUUAGGGGACUUAACCCAACACCUCAAGGCACGAGCUGACGACAGCCAUGCAACACCUGUGCUGGUUACACCCGAAGGCAAUCACCCCGCUUUCACGGGGAUAAUCCCAGCAUGUCAAACCCUGGUAAGGUUCUUCGCGUUGCUUCGAAUUGAGCAACAUCCUCCACCGCUUGUGUGAGCCCCCGUCAAUUCCUUUGAGUUUCACCCUUGCGGGCGUACUCCCCAGGUGGUACACUUAUCGCUUUCGCUUGGACGCUAACAGUAUAUCGCUAACAUCGAGUGUACAUCGUUUAGGGUAUGGACUAC